rnacentral:rRNA from 1 species
AUUGAACGCUGGCGGCAGGCCUAACACAUGCAAGUCGAGCGAGCGGCGGACGGGUGAGUAAUGUCUGGGAAACUGCCUGCUGGAGGGGGAUAACUACUGGAAACGGUAGCUAAUACCGCAUACCAUCAGAUGUGCCCAGAUGGGAUUAGCUAGUAGGUGGGGUAACGGCUCACCUAGGCGACGAGCCCUAGCUGGUCUGGGAGGAUGACCAGCCACAUGGGAACGGAGCCAGGGUCCAGACUCCUACGGUAGGCAGCAGUCGGGAAUAGUGGACAAUGGGGGCAAGCCUGAUACAGUCAGGCCGCCUGUGUGAAGAAGGCCUUCGGUUUGUAAAGCACUUUCAGCGGGGAGGCGUUACCCGCAGAAGAAGCACCGGCUAACUCCGUGCCAGCAGCCGCGGUAAUAC